rnacentral:rRNA from 1 species
GCCUAGCCGUAAAAAAUUAACUCACACUAAAAAACGCCUGGGGAUUACGAGCGCAAGCUUAAAACCCAAAGGACUUGACGGUGUCCCACCCACCUAGAGGAGCCUGUUCUAUAAUCGAUGAUCCACGAUAUACCUCACCAUUUUUUGCCUUUUCCAGCCUGUAUACCUCCGUCGGCAGCUUACCAUGUGAGUGCUAUAAGUGGGCCUAAUGGUCUAUACACCAGCACGUCAGGUCAAGGUGCAGCCUAUAAAAUGGAAAGCAAUGGGCUACAAUUUCUAACUUAGAACAAACAUAAACUACAUGAAACACCGGCAUGAAGGCGGAUUUAGUAGUAAAAGAAGAACAGCAAGCUUCUUUAAAUAAGGCUCUGGGACGUGUACAAACCGCCCGUCACCCUCCUCAACAGCACCUUCCUUAAUUUUUAAUACUUAGACAGCACCCUAGAGGAGGUAAGUCGUAACACGGUAAGUGUACUGGAAAGUGCACUUGGUUAAA